rnacentral:lncRNA from 1 species
AAGGAAAUUGCACUCACAUUAGAGCCUUUUGGAUUAACUACUAUUUGGGCAUGUAGUUAGUUUGAUCCUUGAGCUUGUUGCAUGGAACUCAAUAAAGUGGCAAGUUGUCCAAUUUGUGUUUGCAAAGUCUGAAUACUAUAAUCUGUUCGUUGUUGAAAUUGGAGACUGUUUGCAACCAUUUGCUUGACAAGUUCCUCUAGUGAAGGUUCAGAAGGUGAAAAGGUGGUUACUUGUGGGGGGUUAUAUGGUGGUGGUGGUGG